rnacentral:sRNA from 1 species
UGCCUCUCCCACCGUCUUAACCCGAACUCGGGCUUGUGGCGUCCUCCCGUGGGCCGGAUAGAGUGCCCUAGUCCAGCUAACGGAUUCAGCCUGGAGCGUUCUGGUGAAUGCUGCUUUCCUCUUUGGUGCCGCGAAGUAGAAAUCGGGAUAAGGGUUGUCAUGGCCGGAGGGAGCGAAGAGAAUCCAGCGUGACGACAGCAUGUACGAUCCCUGAAUGGGCCCGUGGGCAUAUUUAGUCAUUCAUUUUUGAUCAGGAGAAAGAAGACAGCCAUCAUUUGAAAGGUAAAGCUUCAGCGACUGAAGGAGUGUGGACUUUUUGAAUUUCAAGAACAGUAAAGUUGGAACACAGCAGAGGGUGUGUAAUAAAAUACAGAUUGGAAAGAAGACUGAUGAAGAAAAAUAACAGCAUGAUUCAGGCACACCAUUGAGUUCUUUGGGAUGCCCGAAAGUGUCUGGUUGGGAAACAUGAAAUAGAAGACGAGAACCUGCCUCAGCAAGCGUACCUGAGAAUACUUUUAAAGGAACCUGUUGAUAAAUGCAAAACAGUGGCUGUUGCAGGUGAUGGAACUGUACUGGAACAAUGGGAGAAGCUGGUAGCUUAUAGGAAGCCAAGAUGACCAGAAUGUUUUUAAAUAAUCCGUCUAUUAUUAGCAGAAGAUUUUUCUGCAUAGUUGGCACGCUGUA